rnacentral:rRNA from 1 species
AUGGAGAUGGAGAGGCAGAAGAACGCACCACUUCUCGUGAGGAGGACGAAGGAGAGGGAGGGCCAGGUCCAAAGGCUAGCCAGCGAGGUAUGGGAAGAGUCCAUGAAGCUGUGGGAGGUGGUCGGCCCGGCCGUGUUCAUGAGGCUGGUCCUCUACAGCCUGAACAUCAUCAGCCAGUCCUUCGCCGGCCAUCUCGGCGACCGUGAGCUCGCCGCCUUCUCCAUCGCCAGCACCGUCGUCUCCGGCUUCAACCUCGGCUUCUUGCUUGGCAUGGCAAGCGCGCUGGAGACGCUGUGCGGCCAGGCGUACGGCGCGAAGCAGUACGCGAUGCUGGGCGUGUACAUGCAGCGCUCGUGGCUUGUCCUCCUGGCUUUCGCGGCGCUCCUUUCCCCGACCUACAUCUUCAGCGGGCAGCUGCUCCGCGCGCUCGGCCAGCCCGCCAAUCUGGCCCGCGAGGCCGGGGCCGUCAGCGCCUGCCUGCUCCCGCUGCACUUCAUGUACGCCAUCCUCCUGCCGCUCAACAAGUUCCUCCAGUGCCAGAGGAAGAACGCGGUCACCGCGGUCACCACCGCCGUGGCGUUCCCGGUGCAUGCCGCGGUGACCUGGCUGCUGGUCAGCUACCUCGGGCUCGGGGUCGUCGGCGCCGCCAUCGCGCUCAACUUCUCGUGGGCGCUCGUCGUGGCGCUGCAGCUCGCGUACGCCGUCGGCGGCGGCUGCCCGGAGACGUGGGGUGGGUUCUCGUCGUUGGCGUUCGUGGACAUCUGGGGGUUCGUCAAGUUGUCCUCCGCAUCCGGAGUCAUGUUGUGCUUGGAGAGUUGGUACUACAGGGUUCUGAUCUUCGUCACUGGGUACAUGAAGAACGCGGAGCUUGCCGUGGAUGCCUUGUCUAUCUGCUUGAGUUUGAAUGGAUUGGAGAUGAUGAUCCCAUUGGGGUUCUUGGCAGGCACCGGGGUGCGGGUCGCCAACGAGCUCGGCGCGGGCAACGGACGCGGGGCGAGAUUCGCGACGAUGGCGUCGACGACGACCUCCUUUCCGAUCAGCAUCUUCUUCUGCUUGGCGGCGUUGGGCCUCCACGGCAGGCUCGCCCUCAUCUUCUCGUCGAGCAAGGCCGUGAUCGACGCCGUGGACGACAUCUCCGUCCUGCUGGCCCUCACCAUCCUCCUCAACGGAGUCCAACCCGUCCUUUCAGGAGUUGCAGUUGGGUCAGGUUGGCAGGCGCUGGUUGCGUAUGUGAACAUUGGGAGCUACUACCUCAUCGGUGUCCCGCUCGGCGCUCUGCUGGGAUGGACCUUCCAUCUUGGUGUACAUGGAAUUUGGGCGGGAAUGAUCGGUGGCACGACGGUCCAGACGCUGAUCCUCGCCUACAUGACCAUGCGAUGCGACUGGGAUCAAGAGGCCUUGAAAGCAAGUAACCGUAUGGGGCUGAUGUGA